rnacentral:rRNA from 1 species
CUCCUGUUUAACAAAAACAUCUCUUCUUGAAUAUAUUUUGAUGUAUGGCCUGCCCACUGAAUAUUGAAGGGCCGCGGUAUUUUGACCGUGCAAAGGUAGCAUAAUCAUUAGUCUUUUAAUUGUAGGCUGGAAUGAAUGGUUUGACGAGGUGUUAACUGUCUUUAUUUUUUUUUUGAACUUAAAUUUUAGGUUAAAAUGCCUAAAUGUUUUUUUGGGACGAGAAGACCCUAUAGAGUUUUAUAUAUUUUUAUUUUUUUUGUAUGAGAAUUUCUAAUGUAAAAAUUUAUUUUGUUGGGGUGAUGGAAAGAUUUAAUUAACUCUUUUUAUUUAUUUUAUAUUUAUUUAUAUGUAUUUGAUCCAUUUAUGUUGAUUAUAAGACUAAAUUACCUUAGGGAUAACAGCGUAA